GGCAAUAUGGCCGAGUGGUCUAAGGCGCCAGAAUCAGGCAUUCGAUGUUCAGUCGGGAGCAAUCUGGUCCGAAAGGGCGAGGGUUCGAAUCCCUCUGUUGUCA